rnacentral:rRNA from 1 species
UCAAUUUAGAUCAAGAGGAGCAGGCAUUAAGCACACUAUUUAGUAGCUCAAGAUGCCUUGCUUAACCACACCCCCAAGGGAAACAGCAGUGAUAGAAAUUUAGCAAUGAACGCAAGUUUGACUAAGUUAUGCUACUCUAGGGUUGGUAAAUUUCGUGCCAGCCACCGCGGUCAUACGAUUAACCCAAACUAAUAAAUUCCCGGCGUAAAGCGUGAUUAGAAUCAAAAACAGAAAAAAUAAAAUCAAAUAACAACUAAGCUGUAAAAAGUAAUAGUUACAAACAAAAAUAAACAACGAAAGUGAUUUUAUAACCUUCGAACUCACGAUAGCUAAGACCCAAACUGGGAUUAGAUACCCCACUAUGCUUAGCCCUAAACUUAAAUAAUUCCAUAACAAAAUUACUCGCCAG